CCUACGUGUGGCUGCAGUGAGGAAUAUUGGUCAAUGGGCGCAAGCCUGAACCAGCCAAGUCGCGUGAGGGAUGACGGUCCUAUGGAUUGUAAACCUCUUUUAUAAGGGAAUAAAGGGCGGCACGUGUGCCGUUUUUUAUGUACCUUAUGAAUAAGGAUCGUCUAAAUCCCUGCCAGAAGCCGCGGUAAUACGGGGGAUCUGCGCGUUAUCCGGAUUUCUUGGGUUUAAAGGGUGCGUAGGCGGCCGUUUAAGUCAGCGGUGAAAGUCUGGGGCUCAACCAUUGAAUUGCCGUUGAAACUGGAGGCAUUGAGUGUGUAUGAGGCAGGCGGAAGUCGUGGUGUAGCGGUGAAAUGCUUAGAUAUCACGCAGAACCCCGAUUGCGAAGGCAGCUGACCGAGGCACAACUGACGCUGAUGCUCGAAAGUGUGGGGAUCAAACAGGAUUAGAUACCCUUGUAGUC
rnacentral:rRNA from 1 species